UACGUAGGGGGCGAGCGUUGUCCGGAUUCAUUGGGCGUAAAGCGCGCGCAGGCGGUGGCGUGAGCCCGGCGUGAAAGCCCCCAGCUCAACUGGGGGAGGCCGUCGGAGACCGCGGCACUUGAGGCCGGUAGGGGAGAGCGGAAUUCCCGGUGUAGUGGUGGGAAUGCGUAGAUAUCGGGAGGAACACCAGUGGCGAAGGCGGCUCACUGGCCCGGUACUGACGCUGAGGUGCGAAAGCGUGGGGAGCAAACAGG
rnacentral:rRNA from 1 species